UAAUUUAUUGUAUAAUAUUCAUUUAAAGUGACAAAUCGUUUGAUUCUUUCUUAUAGCUGAACCUAUGGUUCUGCAGUCAAGCACUGUUCCACUUAACCAGGGAGGAUUGAUUGAAAUAGAUUAAGAGUUGACACAUUUAUAUUACUGAUAAAAAAAUGCUCAAAAUGUAAACAAAAAUGAUAUAAAAGAAGACAGUUUUUUUUUAUUCAUUUUUUUUUUUUUUUUUUUUUCAAAUUAUUUGAAUUUAUACUGGGGGACAUGUUUUGCCCUGUCUGUUGGUUUGUUUGUUUGUUGGCUUGUUUGCCAUAACUUUUGCAAUAUUGAAGAUAUCAACUUGAUAUUUGGCAUGCAUGUGUAUCUCAUGGAGCUGCACAUUUUGAGUGAUGAAAGGUCAAAGGUCAAAUAUACGGUUAAAAGCGCUCAUUAAAUAUACACUAUAACUUCGUUAGAACUUCUUUCACAUACUUAAUAUCUCAUAUGUAAUGUAUCUCAUACAGCUGAACGUUUGAAAUAGUGAAUUGGUAACUUCAAUGUCACCCAUCUAGGUCAAAGGUCAAGUUCUUCUACAAACUCAAAUACUUCAAAUUUAAUUACAGAACUUUCUGUGUCAUUAAUACUAUAAUAGGCAUGAUUUGUGUAUCUGAACUCCAUCACUAGUGUAUCUUUUAUCCCUAUUAUCAAGGCGUCUUUUAUAACAUUAUACCAUAAUAUCCACAGCCUGUUGGCAUUUAUUGUUUAUAAUGUAUGUGACUUUAAAAUUAACAAAUUUCUAAAUGUGAGCAAUUUUUAUGUCCAUAACUGGUGUAACUUUGAUGUCCAUAACCUAAGUGACAUAUUCUAAGUAACGGUAAUGUCCGUAAGUUGUGUGACUUAAUUGUUCAUAACCUAAGUGACUGUCAUGUCCAUAAAUUGUGUGACUUUAAUGUUAAUAAUCUAUUCUAAGUAACAGUAAUGUCCAUAAGUUGUCUGACUGUAAUGUCCGUAAGUUGUGUGACUUAAUUGUUCAUAACCUAAGUGACUGUCAUGUCCAUAAAUUGUUGUGUGAUUUUAAUGUUAAUAAUCUAUUCUAAGUAACAGUAAUGUCCGUAAGUUGUGUGACUGUAAUGUCCAUAAGUUGUGUGACUUAUUUGUUCAUAACCUAAGUGACUGUCAUGUCCAUAAAUUGUGUGACUGUAAUUUUAUUAAACUAAGUAACUGGCAUGUCCAUAACUUGUGUGACUUUAACAUCCAUAACCUAAGUGACUGUAAUGUCAUAAAUUGUGUGACUUUAAUGUUAAUAAUCUAUUCUAAGUAACGGUAAUGUCCAUAAGUUGUGUGACUGUAAUGUCCAUAAGUUGUGUGACUGUAAUGUCCGUAAGUUGUGUGACUUAAUUGUUCAUAACCUAAGUGACUGUCAUGUCCAUAAAUUGUGUGACUUUAAUGUUAAUAAUCUAUUCUAAGUAACGGUAAUGUCCGUAAGUUGUGUGACUUAAAUGUUAAUUAUUUAAGUGACUGUCAUGUCCAUAAGUUGUGUGACUAUUAAUGUCUGUAAGUUGUUUGACUGUAAUGUCUGGGGCAACAACUGCAUUUAGUUGUUGAGUUACUAGUUAAUUAAUUAUUAAGUACCCCAGGGCAUGUAUGGAUUUGUGUUUUAAAACUUGGUAUUGUAUUUUGAAACAAUGUUUAUUGGAAAUAGAGGGAUUUUUAUUUAUUUUGUCGCACUGCUUUACUUACAAAAAUGCCCAAUUUUUUAUGUGAAACAGCCUUUGAAAGAAAAAUAUAGCAAAAAUUAUUUAAUUUUAUUUCUGAUAAUGUAGUCAGUCCGUAGAUGUCCCUUGACCAAAUAAAUGGUCCGCUAUCUACUUUUGUAGCCUGUUGAACAGGUAUCUGACUUAAGUUCUUUGUCCUUUUCUAUUAAACCUGUAUAUCCAUUUUUUACUACUUUGAGCACGAAUAAGAUGAAUGUUUGUCCCCAGUUUAUAGGUCAAGGUCACAGUGGACACUUUAAAUUUGUGUAUAUUCCUUAAAUGGAUGUAGUAAAAUUAUAUGUUCCUGCACGGCUUUAUUUUGUUAUAUUUUGUUUUAUUUUUGAUAUUGUAGUCGGUCAGUAGAUGUCCCUUGACCAAAUAAAUGGUCCGCUAUCUACUGUUGUAGCCUGUUUGACAGGUAUCUGACUAAGUUUUGUUAACGCCCGUUUGAAAAAACGGACAUAUUAUGUGAUCACCCAUGGGUGGGCGGCUUCCAGAUCUCUGAGUAUAACUCUUAAAGUAUAAGAGCUUUUCACAUGAAAAUUCAUAUAUGGAUUGAUUUCAUUGAGAAGAAGUGCAGUGCACGAGAACCAUAACUCUAGCUUGCUUAAUUUCAGAAUUAUACCACAUUUUAAAUUUUCUUUUCUGAGUCAUAACUUCAUAACUAUAAGGCCAAUUAACAUCAAACUUGGAAUAAACGUAGGUUGUGGUGUAUAGAAGUGCAGCCCACAAGAAUCAUAACUUUAGAUUGCAUAAUUUUAGAAAUAUCCCCAUUAAUAAUUUUGUUGGUAUGCCUUUUUUCUUGGUUGCCUGUUUUUUAUGUCCCCAGUCUAUGCUGGGGGACAUAUUGUUUUUGCCCUGUCUGUUGGUUUGUUUGCACAAACUUUAACAUUGGCCAUAACUUUUGCAAUAUUGAAGAUAGCAACUUGAUAUUUGGCAUGUAUGUGUAUCUCAUAGAGAAUAUUUCAUUGAGUGUGACCUUCUUGGUGACCUUCAAAAAAAAGACAAGCAUUGGGGCAUUACGACUCUUGUUUCAUCAAAAAAAAAAAUUUGUUCAAGGUAACUACAAUUAGUCCUCUACAACUUUCACAUUUUAUUUAGUUCAACAGUUCUAUCACAUUUUACAAGUUUUACAUAUUUUUGAGAAAAAAAGUAAAGCUGUGCUACUGUGGACAUUCAUUGUUUUACUCUUUUAUUAUUAAUUAAUGAUCUUUAAGAUUGGUAUCUUCAUUCCAUUUUGGACAUGGUCUGGUCAGUAUUAGUAUUAUACAUAUGAAUGUUAGAAGGUUCAUAUAUCUAUGUUUGCAAUUACAAGAUAAAAAUGCAGAUAAUAUUGCAGCCAAAUUGUGUUACAAUGUAUUACUAUCUGAUGUGUUGUGUGUCAUUGAAUAGCAUAAUCCAUGAGACAUCUUGCACCCAAGCUGAUCCAGGCAAAUGCUGGUCAUGCCCAAAGAAUUUUAUCUGCCAUUGAUUCUUAGAAGGUUUGUGCCCAGCACAUCAUCAGGCACAUUGAAUUUUUACCGUAAUGUAACAAUAAUACAUUGUUCUGGUUCUUACAUAGUUUCAAAUCGUGUAUUACUGUAUACAAAGUUCCCAUUUUAUGUCAUGGGCACAUGCAAGAUGCACAGAGAUGGCAAUAUUGAUAGUCCAGCAAUAUCAGUAGAUUUCUAUAUGAAAUGUAUAUAAACAGAAAUUUCAUUUUCUUUUAAUUUCAUCAUUUCUGGUCAUAUACCUAUCGUUCAUAUUUCAUUGGAAAGCUCUUGAAAUUCUUAAGAUGUCAUAAUUAAAAACUAAAAAUGAGGUUAAACAAACAGACCAUUUAUUGUUCAAUGUUCUUUUCAGUCAAAUUAUGGGGAAAAAAUCAUAUAGUGUAACUUUUAUGCUUAUAAUUUUCUGUAGACAAUAUUAUAUUGUAAAAUAUAUUUAUAUCUAAAAUGCAAAAUGAAUAACAGUUAAAAUGAUACCAUUUUGAGCUCACCUGAGCACGAAGCUUUUAGGAUCACCUUACGUCCGUUGUCCGUGGUGUGUCAACCUGCUUCAAAUGACAUCGCCUAAACUAUGCCAAUUUUGAUAAAACUUUACAAGAAUGAUCAUUGGGUGACCCUAUACUAAAAUUGCUUUAUUUGUUCUGCUUUUGUUGCACAAGAUGACUAUCAUUACUAAAAAUAAAAAAAAUCUUUAAGUGGCAUAUUCUUUUAAACCACUACGCCAAAUUUGCCAAAUAAGUUUACAGAAGUGAUCCUUGGGUUAUCCUUGACAAAAUUGAUUAAAUCAUUUCUUUAUGAUGCAAGAGAUGGCAGUUGUCGCUAGAACAUUAUUGGAUAUUUUGACAUGAACUAGUACACUAAUUGUUCAGGUGAGUGUCUAAGGGCCAUCGGGCCAUCUUGUUAAUAUACCCUCUCAGAGCUGUUAACAAUAUUUUUUAUAUUUAGUUAAAAAAUAACAGAAGCUAUUAACAUUUUCCCCCACUGUAAUUGUAAACUAUCAAAAUGGCUGCCAGAUUAUUGUAAAUAAGAACAAUAUAACUCUUAUCAGAUAGAAAAAUUGGUGCUUUGAAAACUAUAUUGAUAUUUUAUCUGUUUCUAUGUAUAGACGGCUUUGUAAAUUUCAUACAAUGAGUAGUUGGUUUCCUAUUGAACUAUUACGCCAUUUUGGCAUAGAACGUAACCAAAGAAUAUGUACUUUGUGAAGUUGUUUAGGUGAUGAGUUUCAGUACUGUUUCAGUCACUUUAAAUCUACACGUAAAAAAAUAUUUAUAAAUAUUUUAGAAUUCAUCCUCUUAUAAAAUGGAAAAGUUAAUGAAUACGUAAUAUACAUCUGUACUUUUUCAAGUUAGUAUUAUUUUGUAAAAUUGUUAUGAAUAAUUUUAUUCAUUAUAAAUCAUGUCAUGGAUUUUUAAUUACAUGUAAAUCUUAGUAUUGUGCUAUAGUCAUAAUUCUUUUAACUACAUUGUGAAAGUGUGACCUAGUGCUACUUUGACAUAAUAUAAUUGUUGUAAUAUCCUAAAAUCUGUUGUAAGUUUUGUUGCUUGUUAAUACAGUUCUACCGGUACUUGUUCUUGAGUUCAUAUUACUUUAGAAAUUAAUUAUGUUAGAUGUAUGUGUUUACAUCACACACAAUUGUGAUUCUACUGUAUAAUUAUAUAAGUAAAUAUGUCCAAUCUAGAAUCUGUUUUAUACUGAGCUUUCAUAUUUGGUAUGUAGCAUUAUCUAGAGGUCCGCUACCAAAGUUGUUCAAAUUGUUCCUCUGGGGUCAAAAUUGACUCCGCCCUGGGGGUCACAAUUUUACAUUGAAUUAUAUAAGGAAAACUUUAAAUGACUUGAACUGCUAAUGGGAUUUUGACCAAACUCAACAGAAAUGGUCCCUGGGUAGUCCUCUACCAAAAUUGUUCAAAUGGUUCUGAUUGGUUGCAUAAGUACACAUUGUCAAAAAAAAAAGGUUUUUAAAAUGCAACUUUCAAAAAUCUUCUUGUCUGAAACUACAAGACCCAGAGCUUUCAUAUUUGGUAUAUAGCAUCCUCUAGAAGUCCUCUUCCAAAUUUGGUUUAAGUUAUGCCCCUAGGGUUAAAAUUGACCCCGCACCGGGGGUCACAAUUUUACAUUGAAUUAUAUAAGGAAAACUUUAAAUGACUUCUUAUCUUGAACCGUUAAUGGGAAUUUGAACAAACUCAACAUUAACGGUCCCCUUACCACAAUUGUUCAAAUGGUUCUGAUUGGUUGCAUAAGUAGGUCAAGGGGUAAAAAAAUAGGUUUUCUAAAUGCAAUUUUCAAAAAUCUUCUUGUCUGAAACUACAAGUCCUAGAGCUUUCAUAUUAAUUUCAUGUAUAACAUCAUCUAGAGGUCCUCUACCAGUAUUUGGUGGACAACAUUAGUGGUCCUCUGUAAAUGGCUCCAUUGUGACCUUUGACCUUUUCCUAAGGUGAGCGACCCAGGGCCCUUUGGGCCCUCUUGUUAUUUUUCAUUAAAGGGACUCUCUCAGACACGUGUAAUUUGGGAGUAAAUAAACGUUAAAAAUUUGAUAUUCAACUUCCUCGUCACUAUACCAAAGACCGCUUUCAUUUUCCUUACUUAUAAGUUACUAAAACCCCAUGUUUUUGUUGCUUGGUGUGAAGUGAGCCUUCGCGCCAGUCUGUUCAACGUUGGGAAAGCCGGUUUAUAAAUAAACUGAGGAAUUCUUUUUCGCGCGCCAAGCUAUCACGUGACGUCUAAAAAUAAACACUACACAGCAACAUAGUAGCAAAGGGAAAUAAUCGUGCGCUUAGUUUGGGUGGAAUUCUGAACAUUUGAUGUAGAAAAUGCGAGUAUUUUUUAUUUUCCUUACCAAAUUGACCAAGAUUCAAUAAAUAUUAAUGUCUUCUCUAUUUGUUUUUGUCAUCGCUCGACCCAUUUUCGUCUAACGCAAAUAAUGUAUGCGACCAUGCACAUGUUCAGUAAACGUUUCCGAAGACCCACGUGACGAUGGUAUCUAAAAACACCACCUCUUAUUCUAAGUUAAGAUCGUUGUUUACAAAAUAAACCCGUUUAAACGGUCUUACAUAUCUGCGAUUUAAAUGUUAAUUUUCUUCUCUGUACAAAUAUGAGCAAGUUUGGAAAGCUGUCAAUAAUCUAGUUCUGUGUUACUUUAGAAAUGUAUGUUGUCGUGUUUAUGGUAGAAGACAAUUUAUUUACAAAAAGUUAAAAUCUCGAUCUCUGAGAGAGUCUCUUUAACGAAAAACCGGAGAACAGUAGUAAAAAUUAUUUAAAAUUUUGAGAAAAAGGCAUUCAUCGUUACCCCAAACCUUUAUUAUUAUCAGCCAUGUUUUUUUCAUAUCAGGGAUGGUCUAAAACCCGUGGUGUCUGGAACUGUAUAUGUUCUGAUUUUUUACAAAUAAUGUUUUUUUGGGGGGGGCAGGUGGUUUUGGACAGGGGCGGGCGUGGAUGAGAAUCUAAAAUAUUUUUUUCUAUUGCCUAACUGUAAAAUAACAUAUCUUGAAAAAUAAAAUCCUGCAAAUACUUUCUACCUGUUGUUCUGUUACAUGUGUGUUGAACAUUUCUGUGACUUGUUAAAAUCCUAUGGACAAAUUUCUAGUCUAAAUUAGCUUCUCAAUUUAAAUAACUUGUUCCUUCAAAAUAGUGCAUGGUUUGAUAUUGUACUAUUUAAAAUUUGAAUUAAUAUUAUCUCUAGUCCUGGCAAGUCUAUGUUCUUUAAGUAAAUUGAAAUUAAAAGGUUUAUUCAUUUAAACAUUUUGCAAUGAUUUCUGUUAGUUCACAUCUUGUUAAAAUGUUUUAUACAUGCAUAGUUUAUGCCUUGGUUAAAUAAAAUCUGAAAUCUGUUGUGGGAAGUAUCAUACUAUGUAUUCGUGUUUCUGUUUGUAAAACGUUUAAUAAAACUAUUUAACAUAUA